rnacentral:rRNA from 1 species
GGUUAAGCGACUAAGCGUACACGGUGGAUGCCCUGGCAGUCAGAGGCGAUGAAGGGCGUGCUAAUCUGCGAUAAGCGCCGGUAAGGUGAUAUGAACCGUUAUAACCGGCGAUACCCGAAUGGGGAAACCCAGUGUGAUUCGUCACACUAUCAUUAACUGAAUCCAUAGGUUAAUGAGGCGAACCGGGGGAACUGAAACAUCUAAGUACCCCGAGGAAAAGAAAUCAACCGAGAUUCCCCCAGUAGCGGCGAGCGAACGGGGAGGAGCCCAGAGCCUGAAUCAGCAUGUGUGUUAGUGGAAGCGUCUGGAAAGGCGCGCGAUACAGGGUGACAGCCCCGUACACAAAAGCGCAUGUGCUGUGAGCUCGAUGAGUAGGGCGGGACACGUGGUAUCCUGUCUGAAUAUGGGGGGACCAUCCUCCAAGGCUAAAUACUCCUGACUGACCGAUAGUGAACCAGUACCGUGAGGGAAAGGCGAAAAGAACCCCGGCGAGGGGAGUGAAAAAGAACCUGAAACCGUGUACGUACAAGCAGUGGGAGCCCCACCACUAAGCCAGUGGUGAACUCCACAUACGCAUCCUUUGCUGAGGAGACGGUUAACGGAGCGAAAGCGACGUUCAACCUCAAAACAAGCAGAGGGGGCUUAGUGGUGGGGUGACUGCGUACCUUUUGUAUAAUGGGUCAGCGACUUAUAUUCUGUAGCAAGGUUAACCGAAUAGGGGAGCCGGAGGGAAACCGAGUCUUAAUUGGGCGUUAAGUUGCAGGGUAUAGACCCGAAACCCGGUGAUCUAGCCAUGGGCAGGUUGAAGGUUGGGUAACACUAACUGGAGGACCGAACCGACUAAUGUUGAAAAAUUAGCGGAUGACCUGUGGCUGGGGGUGAAAGGCCAAUCAAACCGGGAGAUAGCUGGUUCUCCCCGAAAGCUAUUUAGGUAGCGCCUCGUGAAUUCAUCUCCGGGGGUAGAGCACUGUUUCGGCUAGGGGGCCAUCCCGGCUUACCAACCCGAUGCAAACUGCGAAUACCGGAGAAUGUUAUCACGGGAGACACACGGCGGGUGCUAACGUCCGUCGUGAAGAGGGAAACAACCCAGACCGCCAGCUAAGGUCCCAAAGUCAUGGUUAAGUGGGAAACGAUGUGGGAAGGCCCAGACAGCCAGGAUGUUGGCUUAGAAGCAGCCAUCAUUUAAAGAAAGCGUAAUAGCUCACUGGUCGAGUCGGCCUGCGCGGAAGAUGUAACGGGGCUAAACCAUGCACCGAAGCUGCGGCAGCGACACUCAGGUGUUGUUGGGUAGGGGAGCGUUCUGUAAGCCUGUGAAGGUGUGUCGUGAGGCAUGCUGGAGGUAUCAGAAGUGCGAAUGCUGACAUAAGUAACGAUAAAGCGGGUGAAAAGCCCGCUCGCCGGAAGACCAAGGGUUCCUGUCCAACGUUAAUCGGGGCAGGGUGAGUCGACCCCUAAGGCGAGGCCGAAAGGCGUAGUCGAUGGGAAACGGGUUAAUAUUCCCGUACUUGGUGUUACUGCGAAGGGGGGACGGAGAAGGCUAUGUUGGCCGGGCGACGGUUGUCCCGGUUUAAGCGUGUAGGUGUGUGUUCCAGGUAAAUCCGGUUCACUUUAACACUGAGGCGUGACGACGAGGCACUACGGUGCUGAAGCAACAAAUGCCCUGCUUCCAGGAAAAGCCUCUAAGCAUCAGGUAACAUCAAAUCGUACCCCAAACCGACACAGGUGGUCAGGUAGAGAAUACCAAGGCGCUUGAGAGAACUCGGGUGAAGGAACUAGGCAAAAUGGUGCCGUAACUUCGGGAGAAGGCACGCUGACACGUAGGUGAAGUGAUUUACUCAUGGAGCUGAAGUCAGUCGAAGAUACCAGCUGGCUGCAACUGUUUAUUAAAAACACAGCACUGUGCAAACACGAAAGUGGACGUAUACGGUGUGACGCCUGCCCGGUGCCGGAAGGUUAAUUGAUGGGGUCAGCGCAAGCGAAGCUCCUGAUCGAAGCCCCGGUAAACGGCGGCCGUAACUAUAACGGUCCUAAGGUAGCGAAAUUCCUUGUCGGGUAAGUUCCGACCUGCACGAAUGGCGUAAUGAUGGCCAGGCUGUCUCCACCCGAGACUCAGUGAAAUUGAACUCGCUGUGAAGAUGCAGUGUACCCGCGGCAAGACGGAAAGACCCCGUGAACCUUUACUAUAGCUUGACACUGAACAUUGAGCCUUGAUGUGUAGGAUAGGUGGGAGGCUUUGAAGCGUGGACGCCAGUCUGCGUGGAGCCAACCUUGAAAUACCACCCUUUAAUGUUUGAUGUUCUAACGUGGACCCGUAAUCCGGGUUGCGGACAGUGUCUGGUGGGUAGUUUGACUGGGGCGGUCUCCUCCUAAAGAGUAACGGAGGAGCACGAAGGUUGGCUAAUCCUGGUCGGACAUCAGGAGGUUAGUGCAAUGGCAUAAGCCAGCUUGACUGCGAGCGUGACGGCGCGAGCAGGUGCGAAAGCAGGUCAUAGUGAUCCGGUGGUUCUGAAUGGAAGGGCCAUCGCUCAACGGAUAAAAGGUACUCCGGGGAUAACAGGCUGAUACCGCCCAAGAGUUCAUAUCGACGGCGGUGUUUGGCACCUCGAUGUCGGCUCAUCACAUCCUGGGGCUGAAGUAGGUCCCAAGGGUAUGGCUGUUCGCCAUUUAAAGUGGUACGCGAGCUGGGUUUAGAACGUCGUGAGACAGUUCGGUCCCUAUCUGCCGUGGGCGCUGGAGAACUGAGGGGGGCUGCUCCUAGUACGAGAGGACCGGAGUGGACGCAUCACUGGUGUUCGGGUUGUCAUGCCAAUGGCACUGCCCGGUAGCUAAAUGCGGAAGAGAUAAGUGCUGAAAGCAUCUAAGCACGAAACUUGCCCCGAGAUGAGUUCUCCCUGAGACUUUAGGUCUCCUGAAGGAACGUUGAAGACGACGACGUUGAUAGGCCGGGUGUGUAAGCGCAGCGAUGCGUUGAGCUAACCGGUACUAAUGAACCGUGAGGCUUAACCUU